ensembl:snRNA U6 U6 spliceosomal RNA
GUGCUUGCUUCGGCAGCACUUACACUAAAAUUGGAAUUAUUGAAGAUUGAUGGGCAUGGCCUCUGUGCAAGGAUGAUAUGUAAAUUCGUGAAACGUUCCAUAUUUUU